rnacentral:sRNA from 10 species
AUAACGUGAUGGGAAGCGGCGUGCUUCCCGUGUAUGAUUGAACCCGCAUGGCUCCCGUAUCGCUCGGGGAAGCGCUGAGGGUUCAUUUUUAU